AAUCAACGCUGGCGGCGUGCCUCAGACAUGCAAGUCGAACGCGAAAGUCCCCUUCGGGGGACAAGUAGAGUGGCGCACGGGUGAGUAACACGUAGGUAAUCUACCUUCGGAUGGGGAAUAACAACCGGAAACGGUUGCUAAUACCGCAUAAUGCAGCGGCACCUAAUGGUGACAGUUGUUAAAGCGGGGGAUCGAAAGACCCCGCGUCUGAAGAGGAGCCUGCGGCGGAUUAGCUAGUUGGAAGGUAAUGGCUUACCAAGGCGACGAUCCGUAGCCGGCCUGAGAGGGCGGUCGGCCACACUGACACUGACAUACGGGUCAGACUCCUACGGGAGGCAGCAGUCGGGAAUUUUGGGCAAUGGGCGAAAGCCUGACCCAGCAACG
rnacentral:rRNA from 1 species